UGCGUUGCACCGAUCGGUUGUGGGCGUAAAAAGUUCUAGCGGCGUAAUAUAAAUUUGGGUAAGUAAAGAACAUUUAAAAUGAAAAUUGUUUAUAUAUUCUCAGGUUGUAAAUGAGUUUGCUUCAUUGGAUUGUCGACGUCUUUAAUUCUACCCAUAUAUGUACAUAGUUUUAUUAUAUCUGGAUAACCAGACAUGUUACUUGAUUUUGGCAAAGCGUGGCGGAGUGGAGACAAAGUCAUAUAGCUUCGGGGUGACACACACACAUACAUAAAGCUUGGAGAAUUUGAUUAUUCUGUAAACUAAUAUAAAUAUAUGUGCCUGCUAAAAUUUACCACGUUGACUAAACGAAACAAGUGAUAGUGAAAUGAAAGUUUAAUAAAAGUGAUAAGAAUCGCCGAAA